GACGAAUGCUGGCUGCGUGCUUAACACAUGCAAGUCGAACGGUAGCACAGAGGAGCUUGCUCCUUGGGUGACGAGUGGCGGACGGGUGAGGAAUACAUCGGAAUCUACCCUGUCGUGGGGGAUAACGUAGGGAAACUUACGCUAAUACCGCAUACGAACUGAGGUUGAAAGCAGGGGACCGCAAGGCCUUGCGCGAUUGGAUGAGCCGAUGUCCGAUUAGCUAGUUGGUAAGGUAAAGGCUUACCAAGGCGACGAUCGGUAGCUGGUCUGAGAGGCUGAUCAGACACACUGGAACUGAGACACGGUCCAGACUCCUACGGGAGGAAGCAGUGGGGAAUAUUGGACAAUGGGCGCAAGCCUGAUUCAGCCAUGCCGCGUGUGUGAAGAAGGCCUUCGGGUUGUAAAGCACUUUUGUUGGGAAAGAAAAGCGGUCGGUUAAUACCCGGUCGUACUGACGGUACCCAAAGAAUAAGCACCGGCUAACUUCGUGCCAGCCGCCGCGGUAAAAC
rnacentral:rRNA from 1 species